UAAAGUUUCCUUGAUUUGAAU
rnacentral:piRNA from 1 species